AUGGGAAUUUGGAUUUUGAUAAUCUCUUUAAAAUCCAUACUGAUGGAGCUGAAGCGAUGGCUCAUAGCAGUUAGGAACACUUGCUGCUCUUCGGGAGGAUCUGGGUUCAGUUCCCAGCACCCACAUUAGGUAACUCCAUUCCUAGGAGCUCUGGUGCCCUCUUUUGGCCUUCUUGGGCACCUGCAUACAUAUGGUGUACACACAAGACAAGCAGCCACCCACACAUACACAGAAGUUUAAGGUUUUUAACUUAAAAAUUAUUAUAAUAGCUGUUUUUUAUUAUUUCAUGAUUUUUAAAAAAGAUUUAUUUAUUUGAAAGAGUUAUUGUAUAUACAGUGUUCUGCCUGAAUGUAGGCCUGCAGGCCAGAAGAGGACACCAGAUCUCAUUACAGAUGACUGUGAGCCACCAUGUGGUUGCUGGGAAUUGAACUCAGGACCUCUGGAAAAACCUUUGAGCCAUCUCUCUAGCCCUAUUUCAUUUUAAAAAGUAUCUUCUUCAGAAAAUAAAAGCCUAUCUAAGAAGAAUAUAUGGUUUUUAAUUCUUUUUUUAUAGUUAAUUGCCCUCACAGCUAACAUUUCUUAUAGUUUGUGUUUUAUAUGUUUGAUUACUAUCUGUAAGAUGCUUUAUCAAGUUUAUAGCAGGAUGUUCUUUCAGAGAUUUGUAUAGUAAUUAUAAAGCUUAUUUCCACAUGGGUUCACACAUGGGUUGUCUUUGUACUAUGCUGAUGUGCACAGAGCUAUAUUCUGAAGCCCCACAGUGGAGCUAUGAUGCGGGUCAAAAGAAACAGACAAGAUCCUUGUGUUUCACAGAGCUUCAAUUAUUUUUUACAAUUAAGAUCGCACAUACAGUAAACAUCAAAGAUGUUUAGAAAAAUAUUUUUCCUGUGCAUUAUGAAAAUUCAAAAUUUAAAACUAGAAUGUAAAUAAACUCUUAACC
rnacentral:lncRNA from 1 species